AGAGUUUGAUCAUGGCUCAGGACGAACGCUGGCGGCGUGCUUAACACAUGCAAGUGGAGCGACGAACCAGGGCUUGCCCUGGGGCAGAGCCGCGAACGGGUGAGUAACACGUGGGUUACCUACCCCGAUGACCGGGACAACCCGAGGAAACUCGGGCUAAUACCGGAUGUGGUCUUCGGACGAAAGGAAGCUUCGGCCUCCGCAUCGGGAUGGGCCCGCGGCGCAUUAGCUUGUUGGUGGGGUAACGGCCUACCAAGGCGACGAUGCGUAGCUGGUCUGAGAGGACGAUCAGCCACACUGGGACUGAGACACGGCCCAGACUCCUACGGGAGGCAGCAGUGGGGAAUCUUGCGCAAUGCGCGAAAGCGUGACGCAGCAACGCCGCGUGGGGGAAGAAGGCCUUCGGGUUGUAAACCCCUUUCAGGAGGGACGAAGCCCGGGCGGUGAAUAGCCGACCCGGGUGACGGUACCUCCAGAAGAAGCCCCGGCUAACUACGUGCCAGCAGCGGCGGUAAUUC
rnacentral:rRNA from 1 species